rnacentral:tRNA from 1 species
GCCUGCGUAGCUCAGUGAUAGAGCAACUGCCUUGUAAGCAGUAGGUCGGGGGUUUGAAUCCCUCCGCAGGCU